AGGUUUUACAUCCCCAUGCACAUACCCUCUGGAGUGCAAUUUCUCUAGUAUGGAAAUUGCUUCGAUGGCAAUGCAUGCGACCAUUUCAACAGACAUCGUAUGGGCAUUAUUGUUCCAGACAUCCCAUAAACUAGGACCAAGCAUAUCCAUAACCAUAAUAUAGUAAUCACCUUGACGUCCCUUGUAAUGAACACGCGGUAUACCAUGACUGCCACCAAGUGCAUUGUAGACCUGCCACUCAUAAGGUGGUCCAUGGUUACAACCUUUGCUGCUUCUAUGCUCGAAUUUCAAGGCAACCUCUACUGCUCCUGGGCCAGUUCUUUCAUGUGGAUUGGGUGGGUUCGCACGACGACCUACAAACACUUGACCAAAUCCUCCUUUACCAAGUUUCCUGUCAAUCCUAUAUGCUGGCGAUCCACCAACCUGGACCCUUUCAGGCAGUGGAGCAGUGCUGCCUUCAUCCUCAGCAGCCAAACCCUUAUCACCACUCUGACCGCCACUGUCGUAUUCAUCCAUCUGUUUUUCUCCUACUUCUUCCUCCUUCUCUACUUCCUUCUUCUCCUUAUCCUCUUCUCUAGACGCUGUUCUCCUUACAGUAUUCUCAUCACCUACUGGUACAACCUCCUUCUCCUCGUUAUCUGUCUCCUUCUUCUUCCUUCCACCUACUCUAACUCCACCAGCUCCUCUCUGCCUCGUAGUCCGUGCAACAGUUGUUCUCCUUGUAACCCUCUUGUUCUCGUUAUCGUUGUUUUCUUCCGGUUCAAUCGCAGCAAUCGGUUUACGGCCUCUUCUCACUCCACUACGCAAUUGAGGCAUAUCGAUCAUCCAUCAAGUUGUGAAAACCCUAACUCGAUCUUCAUCAGUCAAAGCUCAGCUUCUAGACUCUUCUUCAACUCACUCUCCUUCACAACUAACAGAUCUCAAAUAACUAAAUCGGAGUUACAGAAAUCUGAGCACCGGGAACUCGCCGGCGGUCGGUGGCCGAUAAAAUUCAAAGGUUUAUUGUAGAGAUCUAUGGAAAUGAGAAACGAUGAAAACUAUGGGUUUGGCUCAAGAGAGACGACGAA
rnacentral:misc_RNA from 1 species